UUUGUAUUCUGUAGCUUGUCCUUAGAAAUAGCUGAUGUGAAAAGUAGAAACACCAUAUACGUAUUAGUAACAUAUUUUAGAAACAUAAUUACUGAAUGAUGUGACAAAUUCUUUCUCACAAAGCUGCAAUAGAUUUUGAGUGUUCUAAACAAGCUUUCAAGGAGCCAAGGCCUUUACACAAAGCAGGACUGUCCCACUCUGUGGGAAGGUUAGGAUGUCACAGGCAGGCUCCAAGAUACUCCCCUCUAUCCUCCUUCCAAGCUUGUCUGUGUGCAAGGACAAACAGGUGGUCAACACAGUGACCAAGUGUGAAGGGAACAAAUGCUAGAGGGUAAUUAAAUAAUUAAGAGGUUUAUGUUUAUGUUUGAAUUGCAAAGCAGGUGUCUGAAAGCAAUGACCAGGUGUUGAGAGAGCAAUUGUUAGAAAGUAAUUAACUAAUUAAGAAAUUUGUGUUUGGAUGGCAAGGAUUUGUGUUUACUGGGUACUUGUGUGAUCAGUGAAGCCUCGCAAAAGAGUGUGAACCUGCAGUACUCAGCCAAUGAGGAACCAGGGGAGAAAGGGAUAAGGGUCGGGCAGUAGGGAAUAAAAGAUGUAAGGCUGUUUUCUGUGUGCACUCCUGCUUGCAGGAGGCCCACCAUUGCAACUGCAAAUGAGAUCUGCUUUAUCAGAGAUACCGUCCUGGAAAAUUAUGUGGAUAUUUCCAUCAAUAUUGACCAGAAGUUUUGUGUCCCUUUGUUCUGUACUCAGUCUUCCCCAUCCCACCAUCCCCGUAUUCAGACCUGCUACCUCAGUGCCCGUGUUAUUAAGCAUGUUGUUAUGCUGUGAUGUGAAGAAACCACAACCUUCCUCCUUGUGUCACCUCUUAAGCUGGUAUUUGAAUUCUUCUCAUUUUGGUAGCUUAUUCCUUCAAAGUAUGCACUUUGUGAAGUGCUCUGCUUUGCAGUGCCUGCUCUGUUUCAGCUGCCUGCUGAUGGCUCAGAGAUUAGCGCUCACUGUCUUCACCUUUGGUUACCUGGCUGCUUCUGGGCACUUUGCACUGAAGAACUUUCAACUGCUGGAUUUAACAGCCCCCUGCAGUGAGGGAUUAGCUUAGCUCGUGUCUCUUCUGAACUGUAACCUUCAAAUUUCUCCUUUAAUACAAUGGAGUGAAAGUUUUCCUGGAUGAAAUUGAGUUUCAUCUGUGCUUUUCCAUCUCCCUUCAUCCUUUUCCAAUUUUCGCACCCACUUCUGUCCCACAGGUGAGCUGAAAAUUCCCAGCUUACCCUUCUGUUUAUAAUUCAUUGUCAUUUCAAAGAGUUCACUGCAUUUUUUUGAGCAUAUUGCCAGCAUACAUAACUGUCAGUCAAGGGAGUGAACUGGAGAUCUUUGAUCUUCCUUGCAUUUCUGCUCAUUCCUUCUAACCUUCCCUUGACAAACCUCCUUUAUGAUUCCUGCAGGGACUUUUUUCAAAGAUAACGAUUUCAUUUGUUACAGUAAUCACCAGUCUUUCUCCGAUCAGUUCUACCAAUACUGCUGAGACAUUCCUAAGAUGCAGGACACGUUUUUAGUGGGAUGUGAUCCAUCUGAAAGUAGCACAAAGUGAGCACUUGUGAUUGCUCACAUGGAAGAUGUGGGCAAACAUCCCCCUGUGAUCAGCUGCUUUGGAGGAAAAGGAGGUGGAGAUUACAGGAACUGUGGCUGGGGUAGGAAACAGAACUGGAAGCACUGGGUUUGGGUCUUUAGAUAGAGAAAUAUGGAGACAGUAGAUCCCAAGAGGGUGAGACAGCAGGGACAAACAGCAGAUUGUGCAUUUCUACCCUGUUGCCAAACACUAAGCAUUAAGUACAAGAACCCUAGAAACAGGCUGUGAUUCUCCAACAUGGCUGAUCCUCUCAUUCCAACACUUGGCCACAGCUCCAUAGGAGAGGAUAGCAAGUGCAGGACUGGCCCAGUAAAUACCCAAGCAUAAAAAAAAAAAAAAUAAAAAAAACCCAAAA